rnacentral:tRNA from 1 species
UCGGGUAUGGUGUAGCGGUAACAUCGCUGACUCUCACUCGACAGCCCGGGGUUCGACUCCCCGUAUCCGAG